CAUAUGAAUUCUUUUGCUUUGUUUUGUCCUCAUUUUGUAGUUAAACUCUCCUGGAUAAAAUUCAAAAAAACUAGAAUGAGAAAUGGACAUAAACAAUCAUUGAGGACAUAAAUUGGUGAACUAGAAACACAUUAUAAGUCUGGAAUCACUGACUCAUUGCAAUCACUAUUUGAGAAUUUCCAGUUUUUGUUUGAUACAAUAUGAUAUAAGGGUUUCACGUCGCUAAUGUACUGGAGUUAACUCCCCUUUAGCGGGUGUUCAUUCAAUGCAGGAGACACUAAAGUAAAUUAGGCCGCUACAGUGGGGUUAAAUAACAAUUUAUGUUGAAACUCCCUUAAAGAACUCAUUAUUCAAUGAAGCUCAUUUUUUAAAGAGGAAGGGAAACCUAGGGUAAUUUUCUUCACAUUUUUACUAAAUUCUUCGGUAAAGAUUACUAAUUCAUUUCCCUGACUUAUUAUUGUGAUUCUUUGGCCUUAAAAUCCUUGUUGGGUGAUCUUAGAGAGAGCUUGACUUGAAUUAUGGUGGAAAACACUAGGUUUUGUAAAAAAGAACAUAGAAAUCAUAUUGAGUUAGGAUUGAUUAUAAUCUGAGUAUUUGUAGGUCAUUAUUGAUUGACGGUUUACUGUGUUUUUUAUUGUUUUAGUCUAGGAACAAGCCAAUAUUCAUUAAAGGGAUUACUCAUGUUCAAUAAAACUUCGAAGGCUUGAUUUAAGGUAUGCUAUCAUUGUUUGUUUUCAUGUUUAUCUUAUAUGAGUUUGUAUAGUGCUUCAUUAAUAUUACAUAUGUAACAUCUCACAAAUUGAAACAGCAAGGAAGAAGCUUAGAAGUUUAAAUGGUCAUUUUCAGAAAGAAUUAAAAUUUGGAAUUUUUCUGAAGUUAGGACAAAGUGUAUUUUUGGUCAACUUCAACGGCCAUAAAUCCUAGUUCAGGACGAUUUAGAGGUAGUUCUUCUUAUAAUUAGAAAUACCUUGGUAAGAUCUUUCAAACGCCGCUGAGCUUACACAAUUUUGACAUCGUAUUGUGAGAUAUGCCCUUUAGAAUUUGGGCUAUCGGAUCAAGGAAAUAUCCAAUCCGGAAUUUUAAAGGGUGUUUUGGUGUUUUCCUUAUCCAACCUAAAUAGUUUUUAUUGGUUAAUAAAUUUGGGUCUAAACUAAUCUUAUUCAUUUUACACUUUAAAAAAUAAGUUAGGGUUUUGAGAGUAGAGAAAAAAAGAGGAGAAAAGAGGAGAAAGGAGAAUAGGAAGCAAGAACGUUCCAAAUCAUCGAAGUUCGGGUUGUGGAAUUCAUUGGAGGUGAUGCCUCAAAAGGUACGUGAGAUAAUCUUUCGUUGGGUCAUGUCACCCACACACAAACUUGUUUAAAUUCCGGGUUUAUUUUUUAGUUAAAGAUAUUGGUUAAUUAGGGUACUAAUUAUCCAAUGUGUUUGGGGAAAGAACCAUGGAAGUUUAGAGGAUUAGAGAUAAAAACGUAGGAGAAAAGUUUAGAACGCUUGACCGUAGGGCCUUGGCGUUCCACGCCUCCCACAACUCAACAGGACAAUCUCUAAUUGUAGGUCCUUGGGGCGCUGCUCCAUCUAGAGUUCCCCAACAUGUGCUCAAAAGUUUGGGGCCUGAUUCCCACAACUCUCAAAGCACGCAGGACACAUGUGCAUCCCAUUCAUUCCCAACAAUUUUUAGUACUAGUUUCUAAGUGAUGUAUUCACAUUUCUUAGUUGAUUCCACCAAUAUAAGGUACGCCUAAAAAUCAUGAAAUCAUCCAUAAACAUGAGACCAUGAACCUCGAAUCCAUAAUCCAAUUCAACAAAAUAUAGAUCAAAUUCAAAGAGGUUAAGUGUUAAGUAUAGAAGUUAAGAAGUAAGUCAAAGUAAAGUUUCUUCAAGUUUCGAGAGUCUUUAUUAAAUAUUUUACCUUCGUUUUAAGGAUAAAGUUUCAGGGUAAUCAAAGAGUAAAUAUUUGAAGUUCUUCCUUCAAAGAAAUAAAAGGGAAUUAAGUAUUCCCUAACAGUUGAUUUAAGACUCAAGUUAUAAGUUAAGUAAAGAGUAAAGAGUAAAAAGUAAUGUUGAAGUUCAUUCUUCAAAAGUAUAUGGGAACCAAGUAUUCCCAAAGAGAUUUAAAAUGUUUUCACAUUUAAACAAGUAAGGAAACAAUGUUUUCCAAAGAGCAUCCAGGUUAGUUUCAGAAAAGAUUUAUAGCUUUAUAAAAUUAAGCCAGCAAGAAAAUGAGAUUUCCAAGAUAAUGUUUGAGAUAUGUUUUUGAGAAGAAAUGCAGAAUCACAGGAAAAGUUUUGUUUAAAGAUAUAAGAUAAGUAUAUUUUUGGGAUUAGAAUUGAAAACUGAUAUGGGGAUGGGAUUUUAGUAUUAACUAAAGUAUCCAUGAAAACCGUGUAGCCAUCAUGGGUAGAAAAAGGGUCAUACUUUUUAGAUGAAUCCUUUCAAAUCAGACUAGUGGAUCCAUUAGAAAUUUUAGGUCCUAUUCUCUGGUAAGGUUACGAUAGCAGGGCAGCGUGGGCUGAGUAACACUGUAUCAUCACUAGAACUACUAAGUGAUGGUUGUCAAUUAGAGAAUCAUCGACAACAAUAGAUGCAUGGUUCCUCAAGAGGUCUUGCCUAGUAUGGAUGUGGUAUGGGACAUCAUUCAUAUAUUGCAUGAGCAUACAUUGAGAGGAAGCAUGAUAAGUCUUUUAUUAUGAUUAUGAGUUGACGUUAGUUUAUUUUGUACUUUUACAUACAUAUCAUAGUUGUUUUGUAUUUUUGUAUACACACAGAGCUUACAUCAUGGUUUUUAAACAACCUAUCUUUAUUAUGCAAUUGUUUUUAAAAUGCUUUAUAAUUAAAUGAGUUUUGCUAAGUAUGCAUAAGUUAAGUGUUUCUUUCAUAUUCUCUUUCAAGACAAUGUUGUUUUUUCAAUCUAACACGCAAAAUCAUACAUUCAGUGUACAAAUGCAAGUUGGUCUGCAUCAUAUCAUGAUGCAGAUGUGAUGCAGAUAUUGGUAACUAGGAUCAAUAUUUGACGUAGUGUUGAUCCACUAAGCAACUCAGAGUCACUUGGUGAUCCUCCCUUCAUUCUGGAGGAAAUAUUUAUCAUUCUAGUGAUUGGAUUUAGUUUUCAGUUGUUAGGAUGAUUGGUUGUCGUGUCCCAAUAUCCCUCUUUAAAUUAGAGGCUUCAUAGACAAAUGUUGUUUUUAACAACCCUAAAAAUUGAUAUGCUAAGUAAUGCUUAAUGUGCCUAGAAUUCCUACGAUUAGACCGGGUUCACACGGAUUGAUGCGCGUAGAACUAGACCUCUUAAUCCUUGCGACAUCCAAGCCAACUAUCUUGGGGAGUUAUUUGAGUUACGAAUGUUUGGUUCCUGCCAUGAAGUGUACCCGAAUACUAGGAUUCACCCGGAUGAGUCUUAACCGGACUUAGAGGGUUAGUCCGAUGUUUUAAGGGUUUUAUGGGUAUAAAGAAAAUUUAGGGUCCUUCCAUUAAGUGUACCCGAAUACUAGGAUUCACCCGGAUGAGUCUUAACCGGACUUAGAGGGUUAGUCCUAGGUUAUAAGGGUUCUAGGAUUAUAAAGGUAAUUUUGGGUCUAGGGGUAGUAUAUUAAUUACCCUAGGCUGAUAUUUAAAUAAUAAAAUAAUGUUAUUAAUUAUUAAUAUAAGUCAAAUCUCGAUGGUCAAACCCGAGAUUGAACUUACCUCCAUACUUGGGUUCGAGCCAAGUUGGAGGCAUAAUGAGGCAUAAAUUAAUUUAUUAAAAUUAAUUAAAAUAAGGAGGGGCAUUAUAAUAACUUAAUAUAUAUUUUACAAUCAAAUUUAACAUUUUAAUUGAAUUGAAUAAGUCAACAACAAUUCUCACAGAAGAGGUGCAUGACUCCCACUAGGAGUGUGCUUCAUGCCCACUCUUAAUUCUUUUUAUUACUCCUAAAACCUUUUUCAUCUUUACUUCACCAUUCAAAAACAGAAAAAAUAAUAUAAGCCUACUGCUCUAAACGUGUUCUUGGCUGCAUCCAUCAAAAACAAAAAGAAAAAUUCGUACGCCUAAGCAUCACUCAUAAAGAACUUCACUUGUGAACAAGAAUCAAGGCUCUGGAGAGAGGUUUGGGCAUGGGUUAGGGCGUGGGAUUGUGUCUUGUUUUCAAGGCUGAAAAGGUAUGGGUUUUCAUACUCAUGGUCCCUUUCCAAAGAUACCCUUAGGACUAAGAUGAAUCUAUUCCGAAAACUAGGGUUGUUCCGCGUUGUAUGUCCCUGUCAUAGAUCCCAUCGAUUUAUAGGUUUGGAAUGCGUGCGGGUAGAACUUAGGGAUGUAAUGUGUUUUCUUGAUGAUUACGUUCAUGUUUGUAUGUAAGGAUUUAUGUGAAAUAUAAUCAUGUUGUCCGAAACUAUGUGUUUAUGUGUGUACUAUGUGUAGCCGUGACAUAUACUUUUGGGUUGAAGUUCGAAUGUGACAUGUUAUGGUUGUAUUCUUACGUGCACAAACUUGUAUAAAUCGUGAUUUUCAUAUGACAUAUAAGGUGGAUGAUUUGAAUGAAAACUAUUAGCUAAUUGAAUCCAUGAAAAUGCACCUAAAGAUGUACUAAAUGAUCCAUGAAUCACCCUAAGAACUAACGUGUAAACGUUGAUGAAAAUGGGCUUAAAAACAUACAUAAUUUCACGCAACUUGUUGAUGAGUUUCGGACAAGUUAAGUGGUAUAUCAUGCUAUAUAAAAUGAAAUUAAAAAUAAGUGAGGUCACUGAGAAUCGAACCCAUGACCUCACCAUGUUAAAAAAUUUUGAAAUAAAUUGAUAGAAAAAGAAUGUGGAAUCCGAACCCGUGUUCCUUGACCAAAACAUAAUAAGGAUAAUGAAAAAUAAAAAUGAAGGGUGUAAGUUUCGAACCCACAACCUCUCGCCCAGACUUAAGGAAGACUUAAAAGAAAAAUAAAAGUUGAGACGUGUGGUAAUCGAACCCAUGACCUCUAGGCAGAAUAAAAGGAAUUAAGGAGAAAAUUAAAGUAGGGUUGUGGGUGUUCGAUCCCACACCCUAUUGGUCAAAACAAAAAUGGUUAAAGGAAAAAGUAAAAUAAAAGAAAAUGAGGUUGUGGGGUUUUGAUCCCACAUCCUCUCAGUCCCAAUGAACGAAAAGAAUAAAGAGAGAAAUCAAGGAAAAAUGAAUAGAAGGUUGGGGCUCAAUUUUGGGUCCCCAAGCCGUGUGGGUCAAACUAAAUUUAAAAAAAUGUAAGUGUUAUCCAAGAGAUUUGAAAUUGGGUUCCCUUGUCCCAUUUACGUAUUGAUACAUAAGUCAUACGUGAAGAAAUGUCCAAAUAAUGCUGCCUACAUAGAACGAAAUCAAUGAUCUUGGCAUACAGACAAGAUGCAUAAGUCUUGUACUACAAUAUCUUAGGAAGAUAGAUUUAGCAUAUAUAGAGUCAUUGGUCUAGCAUACGUUUAAAAGUAAGUGAAACUAAUAUGUAUGAAACGAAAUGAUGAACUCCUAGAAGGGUUAAGUAAGAGUGUGGAACACACAAAAUGGCCAAGUGCAUUGGCAUAUGAUGAAACAAACAUUCACGUAAAAAGGGGUGAGUAAUUAUGAAGAGCAAAUGUGGUAAAGCUAAUGAAUGUGGUGACAACAUAAUAAGAGGCUAUUGUGAAAUAUGAGAGCAAUCUCAAAUGAUCCUAAGUAAAUGUUACCAAAACAUACUCACCUAUGAGAGUGUAAAGUUAAUGAAUAGACCAGUCUCUAUGAACAAUCUAAUGAAUGUAUUGAGAUUAAUGUAUGCUUAAUACUAAUGAUAAGAGGAGAAAUUAUCUAUUUAUCUCUGAUGUCCUCAUACUAGAAGUCAGCUUCCAUGAUGUAUGAGUUGAAUGAAAUGGAACUUUAUACUGAGAACCGAUUGGCUAGCUAUGAGCAGUGAUGCCUUCCUUCGAGAAGGGCGGAGGUUCACGUAACUCCCAUGAGAUGAGACUGUAUAGUAUAUUAGGUAUGGGUCUCCUUAUAUCUCCUAGUCUUUGAACAUAUACUGCCAAUAUAUGGAUCUAGCAGGUUUAAAUUCCCUAUAUACGCUAGCAUGUUUAGGGUCACGUUGGCCGGUGAUUCUAUCUCUUUUUGGUGUGGGGAAGACACUGUAUUUUAUGAUGUUCACAUGAUCUAUGUCGGUUAAAGUUAAAGAUCCCAAAGAAAGAAUCAGGCCAUCCUCAAAUAAUGCACAUAAUGAAAUAAAUGAUACUUACCAAAGGUGUUAGGAUAGGAUAAUCAAGAGGUGAUCUAGACUUAAGAAAUGACACUAGCUUAUUCUUGGUCAUUGCACAACAAACCCAAUGAGAGCCUUAAACUAAAUCCUAGGUUUGACUAGUAGUUACACUAGUAUAUGAAUGAAUGAAAUGAAGUACGCCUGAAUUAAUGAAGCAGACUCUGUGUUUGAUAAAGAAGGCUCACUAGUCGAGGUCCCAUAUGUGGAGCCCUCAUUUUGUGAAGUCUUAAUGUCAAGUCCUUGAUUCCAAGGUCUCAUAGCAUAUGAACGAAUCAUAUGAAAUAUGUUAGGUGGUAUAUGCAAUAUGUUAGGUGCUAUAUGUACUACGUUAUGUGUUGUGUGCCAUAUGAUACAUAUGAUGAAGCAUGUUACUCUCAUGGCAUGACUUUUCUAAUAAAAUUUGACAAGUCCACUUGACUUUCCUAAUCAAAAUUUUGCAAGUCCACUGCCUUGACUUUCCAUAAAUCAUGCUGUUAGGAAAGAGUUAUUCUUACUCAUGCAUGUCCUUGGUGUGUGCUUGCAUAUACCAAUACUUAGUACAAGUGUGUACUAAUCUCAUGCAAUAUCUACUUUUAGGUCCAGACACAGGUGGACGUUAGAUCUUACAGUACGACGUUGAAGCUAUCCGAACGUAAAGCUUUCAACUUCAAUUGGUAGGCCCUCAUGCUUUUGAGGAUGUCUACAUUUAUUAUAUAGAUUAGAUAUAGGAUUUAGAUUGUGGAGCAUGUUCCACUAGUGUUUCGUUUAUACUUUUAUUUCAUACAUUGUAUUGGUUCCAUUUUUGCAAGAAUACACUUAAUAAAGAUUGAACUAUUUCUUUCAUUUGAUUAUCUUAUUGUUAUAUGGUUGAUUGUGAACGUUUAUAAGUUUAAGUAGAAUGUUUUACACAAGUGUUAAGUAACAAAAGUUUCAAAUUUUCUGCUAAAAGUAACCUAGAUGAAGUAACGAUAAUAUAUGUAGGAUUGUCUGCGACCACUGAGAGGUCAACGACGCCGGUUUCGUCUGGGGUCUCGAUUCCAGGCAUGACAGUGUUAGUUUUUUUAGUCUUUUCAUUUAACUUGUAAAUGAUUGAUACUUGAAUUUCCACUUUGGCUAAGUAUCACUUUUAAUUUAUUUGUUUAGUUAUAUAUUAUGUUUAAGUCUUCCGCUUAGUAAAGUAUGUCAAGCCGAAGUUUUGUUGAACACCAAAAAUGGUCAUUAUGUACUUAUCAUGUCCAGGGUGUAGACUUGGGCAGUGACAAACUUAGUAUCAUAGCAUAAAGUUCAAGAGUCAUAGCGAUUAUAUGAAGUCGUGUAUGUAGUAUCUUUGUCAUUGGUUUGAAGUGUUCCGCAUCUAUGAUUAGGAGGAUACAAAAUGUAUGAAUUUCUAACUUCCUUCGUAUUCCUUUUUUCUCUUAUUCAUAUAUGGACGUGUUUCGAGAGACUCAUGCUUCCACAAAGAGCAAUCAAAAAUCGUCUAGAUAGGAGAGAUAUUGAGAAAUAAGAGUUGCAAAAUGCACUUGAAGUGCAACCACAAGGAAAAAUUACCCAUACUAAAUUAUUUGAGACUAUCUGGAUGUUAAGUCGAGUUGCCCACAUCAGUUAGAUAUAGACGUAAAUGAGAGGAUGUGGUUGAUACUUCAGAGAUCCAUGAAUUUUUAGCGAUGAAUUAACCAAGAUUUACACGUUGAAGUGUCUCAGAGGACCCUAAAAACAUUUCUGAAGUACUUCAAAAAUCUUUUGACAUAUUGCAUGUUUUUUAUGUUGAGAGGGUUGAACAUAGCUGCAUACCAAAUAAAGAGUAUUGCUAGAGUCUUGUUUGCCCAAUGGAAAAAGAAUACAGCUGAGGAUGUACCAAUUGUAAGUUGGGUUGUGUUUGAGAAUGUUCUCAUGGUAGGUUUCAUUCGCUAUGUGUUGUGAGAGAAAAAUAUAAGAGAGUUUAUAACGCUUAAUCCUGCGAUUAUGAGUGUUCAAGAGUACGGUCUGAAGUUCGCACAACUUUCCUGCUAUGAUCUGGAGAUGGUUGCUGACAAAAGAGGGGGAAAUGAGUUUAUUUGUGGAUGGGUUGUCUCGUCAGUCAAUAAAGGAAGGAAAUGAAGCUAUGCUGAUAGGGGAUAUGCACCUAGAAAGGUUUAUGAUCCAUGUAAAACAAGUGUAGGAGGAUAAGUUGAAGGAUAGAGUAAACUUUAAGAAGAAAAGGACUAUGACAUUAGGAAAUGAGUUCAUGCAACAAAACAAUAAUGCCAGCAAAUCCUCCGUACAUUAGAAGCAAAAGAGACCUACUCCAUCAUCUACGAGUGAACCUACACCUAUGAGCAAAAGUGAGUACAAUAUUCAGAAGUUCAGAGAUAAUCCAGACUAUUCUAAAGAGAGUUUGGCGCAAAGGGAUAGUAGGCCUCAUGCAUGUGCUAAGAAUGGAAGAAAUCACUUGGUAUUUCUCGUGAGGCCUUUACUAGUUGUUUUAAGUGUGGUCAAAAUACUCAUUUUCUGAGGGAGUGUCUUGAGAGCUGGCAAGGUAGUGGAAAUCAGGGCAACAAGGUCAAAGCUUCUCCAGUUGCUCCACCACAAAGAGCUGCACCUAGAGGGCAUACUUUUGAUACUGGUAAAACAAAAAACCACUUAUAGGAUAUCAACACUUGUCAAGAGCAAGAGGAUUCACCAGAUGUUGUCAUUGGUAUGAUUCAAAUAUUUGAGUUUACUUUUUAUUCUUUGCUAGACCCCGGAGAGAGUUUAUUUUUCGUAAUUCCAUAUAUUUAUAUAAUCUUUGAUGUUUUUCCUGAACAUCUUAGUGAAAUAUCUAGUGUUUCUAAACCUAUUCGUCGGUCUAUUCUCGUAGACAGAGUCUAUCGUGAUUGUCCUAUUUUCGUCAAUCACAAAAGUACCAUGACUGAUGUAGUUGAGUUAGAUAUAGUAUACUUUGUUGUCAUUAUAUGUAUUUACUGACUUCAUGCAUGCUAUGACUGAGUUGACUGUAGAACUCGAGCAGUCAUUUCAGUUUCCAACCGAGCCAGCCUUAGUGUGGAAAAACAGUUCAGUAGAAGAAGGGUCAAUUCAUUUCGUACAUUAAGGCGAGAAAGUUAGUUUCUAAGGAGUAUGUCUAUAACUUAGUCUAUGAAUAUAGUGUUGAGAUAACUCCUAUUUAGUGAGUUCUAGUAGUGAAAGAGUUUCUAGAAAUCCUUCAAGACGAUAUUCCGGGAGUCCCUCCCGAGAGAAAGAGAGAGAGAGAUAAACUUCAACAUAGAUGUUCUUCUAGAUACUUGUCCUAGAUCUAUCAUUCCAUAUAGGAUGGCCUCAACAGAGUUUGUAGAGUUUAAAGAAAAAAUGAAAGAUCUGUUUGAUAAGUGCUCUGUUCGAUAAGUGUUCUUCGACCAUGUAUCUCACCUUGGGUGCUCCGGUCUUAUUUGUGAGAAAGAAAGAUGGUUCCCUUAGGAUAUAUAUAUAUAUAUAUACAUAUAUAUACAUAUAUAUAUAUACAUAUAUAUAUAUAUAUACACAUACAUAUAGGUUACUAUCUGCAACAACUGAGCAGCAACCCGUAGAAGCUACAAGGUUUAAUAAACCUCUCGAAGGUCUCAAAAUAAGUAAGAAUUUAAAGCUUUCUUCACCAUGAAGACUACUUUCAUUAAUAAAAAAGAACAAGAAUUUUAAAAAUGUUCUACCUUUACAAUGUCUCAUUAAAACAUCUAUACGUUAGAAAACAACAUUUAUUACUAAGCCCAUACAAGACUUAAAAUAAGCACUUAAAAAGAAGAUGUGGGUCUUGUCCUCGAAUCUAUGUGGACUAACCAAAGCAUUAUAUUCAACACUUCGAAACCUAUUCAUCAUACAUGGCAUAUAAAGAACUUCAAUCGCUAAACUUUAGUGAAAACGGGAAAAGGAGUUAGAACAUUUAAUGCACUAAGAAUGGAAGCCAUGCAAACACCACAAAAAGGGGACAUUUUAUUUAUGAAAACAUGAUUUCAUGACAUUUAGAUAAAAACCUUUACAAUAAGAGUUUAAGAGGCAUAAAUAUACAAGUCAACAAUUACAUAUAAUACAUAUUCAAAUAAUCCGCAACCUACCAAAGGUUAUCCUAAAACCCACUUACGUAAGAUACCAAAUGGUCGCCCAUACAUCCCAUUCACAAACAACCAGGUGAUCCUCAAGAGUACCCAGAGAAAGGAUAUUCCUUUACAUCACAUAGCACUUAAAUCCAUAUUCAUCAAGAAAGCCUUCUCAUCAUUUAUAAUAUCUACCCAUGGUUAAUAUAAGAAUUACUUGAAUAAGACAUCAAAAGGUAACCCAUACACACUCUUCAAGCACACCUAAGCAGUCCUCAAAGCUACCAUAGAAAAGAAACUCUCUAUUAAACAUGCUUUAAUUAAAUCAACAUUAUUCAUUAAAUUUAUAAAAGAGAUAGCUAAAAAUUAGGGGACUUCACAUAAUGGUCUUGGAAGACCUAGGGAACUUAUUGUAGUAUAUUCAAGGGCUACUCGUUCCAUAUAUAGAUAGAGUCCUAUUCCACUACCUACACGUUGUAGAGCCCAUCCAAUACUAGAGUGCAUAUCACACAUGAUGAGAAUAGGAAUUAACCUACAUAGACCAUACUAGAGGUAUGUAAUCCGGAGUCCUAAGACCCCAUACCGUGUAAGGUUUCUACUUAACAAAGGUAGAACUAAGACUCAUCCCAUGUUUGCACAAGGUUAAUGGAUAUCAAGGGAUUAUUUAUAUUAUAGUUUCAUAAUUAUGUAGAGCUACUAAAACCAUAUCACUCGGUGCUUUUUUUUAAUAUGAUAGAGUAAAUUCAUUCAAAUGACGGUAUUUGAGAAGGUGCCAUUUCUUAUUCUUACAAACUCAUAAUACCCUACCAAGAAUGGUUCCACUAGGGAUUCUACUCAAAGUCCAUUAGGGCAUUUCAUUCUUAAUGUUAUUUUGAUAUUCAUGGUUUCAUACAAGUAAUUAAUAGAAUGUAACCACUAUAGGUCUACCGAUCGUAGACUUUCAUUGAACUAUACAUACAUGACUAGGCUGCCUAAGUCUACCAAGUUAAGAUAUCACCUUCAUAUAACUUUCAUGUAUCAAUAAGAAGGAAUAAAUCUAUCAAUAAAGACAAAACAUUAAUCAUAUAACUUAGUCAAUAAUAUUCAUGUACCCAAUAGGGACAUCAAGGUACCACAUCAUUCUAUAAUGACAUGUAACACACCAAAAAUUCAAUUAGGGAAAGAUAGAGUCUAUUAUGAGGCUAUACAAUCUCCUCAGAAAAGAUCUUUUCUCAGCCCUCAAUUGAAUUAACUCCUCAUGAACAUCACUUCCAUAUUGAUCAUCUUCAAGUAUUUCACUAUCUUCAUAAUCAUCACUCUCUUCAGUUGACUCAUCAGAUACUUUUACAGAGUAUUCACUAUCUUCAGAAUUUGAUGGAUCACUAUUUGGAGCUGUUGGAUUUGAAGUAGAAGGAAUAUUUGAGGUAGUAUGUAUAGUUAUAUCUACCCCAUUAUAAGCAGCCUCACCUACUUGAUUAUAUCCGCUACCCUCAGUGGUCCCAAAUUUAUUAAAAGUUGUACCAGAAUCCUCACUAGGCAUGUGGACAUAUACUUCCAAAACAGACCCACUUUGCAAACAAUUACACAUUGCUAAGAGGAUAUUAUCAUUGUCAAUAUCUCCUAAAAUGCAACUAUUAGGUGGCCGGACACUAAAUUUACAAUUUGGGCUAUACCCUAGUUCAAUAAUAUAGUCUUUAAUCUCAAAAUAUGAUAUUGUAUCCACAUCAAUAUCAUAAUAUUCACUCACUAACCCACUCACAUAUCUUGCUUUAUCACCUUCAUACAACAAGGCCCCACAAUGAUAAAACUUUAAAGUAAUGAAUGUAAACCCACUCAUACCUAUAUGCAUAAACAUAACAAUAAUUAAGUAAAAGUUGCUAAUAGAAUAUAAUAAUUGAUUAAGAAAAUACAUACCCAAAUAGUUAUAAAAACAAUUCAAGUUGAAGAAAACACAUAUCCAACCCCACACAUAAAAAACACAAUACCCCACAUGAAUAACACAAUACACGACAUAUCUUUAUCUUCUUACAAUUAGGUAUGUAACCCCACACAGACACAACACAACUCCCAACAUAUAUUAUAGUCUUAGGAUAAUGUUAUUUAAGUUUAACUCCACACCCACACAGACACAACACAAUACCCAACAUGAAGUUACUUUAUUGUAACCCAGAAUAUAAGACAACACAGAAAAACACCCAACUCGUCUUUAUCUUCUUGCAUGUUUCAUAUUAUAACAACAUAACUCACACAACUAUAAUACCACCCUACCAACACAUACUCAAAACACGUUCCAUAUAAAUGUAUGAAUAACAAGUCACAUACCCCAUAACAACAAAGAUGACAGUAUGAAUAUAUGAAUAACAUCAACCCUAAAAAUAAGAAAUUUGAUAUCUAACAGAACCACAACAUAAACCCUAAAAGUUAUAUUUCACUCAAAAUCGAAAUCAAUAUUUAAUAUAUCAUAACCCCUACAAAAUCUAAGCAUGACCACUACAAAAUCUAAGCAUAACAAAAAAUAAAAUAAAUGAAGAAAAAACUAACCUUUGAACUCAAGUCAGUCACGAUUCUUGCUGAAUGAAAUCGACCCACACUUUCACGAUUGAAAUCGAUCCACACAUGCAGCACUGCAACCAAAAAUUAACUAUCAAAAUCCAACAUCGAAAAACAAAUUUCAGUUGGAAAUCAAAUUUCUAACUUUUGAAAUCGAUCCACACACAAAUUUCAGUUGGAAAUCAAAUUUCUAACUUGUUACUUCAUCUACUUUUUGGUAAAAUUAAUUUGGAAAACAUAAAACGCCAGCUUUUCAAACUUGGGAAGUGUAAAGUUACUUUUUCGAAAGCUAAAAAAGUGGGUCCCGGCACGUGUUGAACAAACACAUCGACCUUUCAGAUUAUUAUUGCCACGUAGGCACGAAAGUGGUAAUUAAUUACUUAAAAAAAAGUUGGAGGGGGUAAUAGGACCUCAUCAAAGAUAAGGUGUGUCGCAGGGAUUUUGGGUAUAUGCUAGGGGGGUAAUUGAGUAUUAUCCCCCUUUUUAUUAGUAUUUGAAUGUUACUAGUCUAAAACAAUAACAAAAUACACAAUCAAUGAAUAAUGUCUUAUAAAUGCUCAAAUUAUAAACAAAUCAUAACACCAUGUGAUUCCUAUGAUCAUCCCUACAAAAACUAGGGUUUUCCACCAUUCAUUCAAGUCAAAGUCUCUCUAAUGCCACCAAACAAGGGUUCUAAGGCCUAAGAAUCACAUUAAUAAUAUAGAGGAAUGAGUUAAUUAUCUAUACUGAAGAAUAUAGUAGAAAAGUGAAAAAAAUCACCAUAGGUUGCCCUUCCUCUACCAAAAAGGAGCUCUAUAUAAUAAUGAGUGCUUUUAGGGGAAUUUCAAUAUAAACUACGAUUUCACCUCUCUAUAGUGACCUAACCUACUAUAGAGGCUCCUCAAUAGCAUGAACACUCACUAUGGAAUGAGUUAGUUCCACCACAAUAGUGACGUGACACCCGCUUUAUCAAAUUGCAUCGAACAAACACUUGGAAUUCUUCAAAAUGUUCAUGAUUAAUCAAAGAUUUCAGACUCAUAUUAGAUUUCUAGUUCACCAAAUUAUAUCCUCAAUGAUUCUUUAAGUCCAUUUCUGAUUCUAAUAUGUUUAAAUUUCAUCUAUGAGAGCUUAAGAAAAAAAAUAAAGGAAAAAGAAGGCAAAAUAAGUCAAAUUCACAUAAUAUCUGAAGUGUUCAAAUUUACAAUAUUUUUUAAUGUAUCAAAACACAUAAUGUGAAUGUCGACGCCAUGAUAUCUUAAUACUUUUUUCUUCUUUCUUAAAAAAUUCUAGUUUCCACAUUUUUAUAGUUACUUACAUAUCAAGACUUUGUUGUGAAAUGAGAAUAGUGUCAAAAGUUGCAUAGGAAUCUCGAUAUAACUUCCAUAAGAUGUGGCUAUCAUAGAUCCUAUCUAUUUUGUGGUGUAUACCUAUACAAAAUUAAUAAUUUGUGAUGCAUAUUAAUCAUAAUUACACAUAAACACUCUUUGUCUCAUUUGGAUUAAAAAUUAUUCGUCGCUGCAAACUAUUAUGUAAGUAUACAUAAUAACAAUGCAAUAAUAAUAUGAAGCUAAUGAUUAAACAAGAAAUAACAACACGUUAUAAGAUGGGGAAUUUUUCUUCUUCCUAGAAGAAAGCAUUUUAUUACUAUGAUUUGUUGCAAUUUCAUCGAGCAUGAAAAACUUCAAAAAUACAUCUUCUUGAAUAUAAUUUCAACAAGGUGAUGAUCGGUGGAAUUGUAACCUCUUGUUAUAAAACACAUUCCUAAAUUAUGUCAAGAAAGGUUGUUAGCACAAUCACAUAUUGGAUAUUUUUAUUGCUAGUUGAUGUUUAGGAUUAGCCGUAUUCUUAAUUAAGCUUUGCAGGUUUUGAUUCAAGUAAUUUUAACUAAUUUAUAUUACUAUUACUCUUUUUUAUUCUCUCAGUUGAAAUCAUCGUAUUACUUUUAAUAGGUGUAAUAUUCUUAUAUCGUGGCACUCAAAUGCUGCCACAAAUUGAGAUAAUAAGCUACACUCAAGUGCUGACAUGCUUAUUUUUAAGACCUAACUCAGUAAAAGCUUUGCCUUGACAUUCUAACUAAACAUUGUGCAAAUGAUGUUGGGUUCAACACUAUUCUCUUCUUGGCUUAUAGUGAAGAUGGUUUUGCUCCGUAUACAUAGUGUAUGGGGUAUCUUUGUUCAAAAGAUUGUGCUACGCUAAAAAAUUUAGUAAUGAACCUUCCUUAUUCUUUGUGCCACCUUCUAAAUAGCUUAUGAAGGUUCGGAAAAGUGUUAGACCAAAACAUUAAAAUCACACCAUAAAGCUAUUAUGGACGAACAACUUUUGGAACCUUCUUAAAGCAGUUAGUUGCACCAAGAUCAAAGAAGGUUCCAUCACCAAAAUUUGCAACCCUAGCAUAAUAUUUUUAACACAUGUACCUCAUUAACUCUUUAUAAUAUGAAUCAAAAUCCUCUCACUGUAAGGAAACAAACAAACAAUGAUGAACUCAACAUCAGUUCUGCAGUGCUUAAUUAGUUAGCAUGUCUUGUCUCUGUCUGGCAGAGCAAUUAAUUACAUUAGGUCUUAAACAUGAAACAUGUCAGCACUUGAGUGUAUCUUAUUUAUUUCAAAUUUAUGACGAUAUUUAAGUGUUAAAAUUUAAUCUUAUUAAAUCCAUAAAAAGUAAUACAAUGCAUGCAACAAAGAAUUAAAUAUAUUAGUUGAACCAAGACCCAAAAGGCUUAAUUAAGAAUAAAACUAAUCCUAAAACUUCAAUUAGUCUUAGAAAGAUUAAGCAUAUGCUUGUGCAAAAAGUCCUUCUUGACAUACUGUUGGAAUGUUUGAAUAACAAGAUACCAUCCCAUAGAGCAUCACCUAGCAGAAACUAUUGUUAUAUCCCUAAUAUUUUGAAAUAAGUUGCAACAUCGUGGGGGUAAAAAACAACUAAUUUAUUUAAAGAAUUUCAAUUUUAGAGUCACCACCCAUUUUAGGAAAAAUAGGAAACAUGUUAAUUAAUUAAUUAUUUAAUAAAUAUUAAUAUACAAAAUCAAUUAGAUUCUAGGUAAGGGUUAAUAUGAUCACGAAAGAAAGGAGUUAGCACCCUUGAGAAUCCACAAUUGUGGGUCCCGAAUGAACACAUUUUUAAAUUGAGGAGGAGAUAAAAAUUAAUUUCACAAUUAUACUAACAUGAAAUAUGUAUAUAUAAAUAAUAUAGUAAAAUUAAAAUGUGAAAUAUAGGGAAAUAUUUACCGAUUGCGAAUAAUAUAGAUAAUGAUGGAUAAAACAUUUAAAAAGUGUUAAACUUGUCUUUUUAAUAUCUUCAAUGGAAAACAAUUCUAGAUACUUGUAAUAAACACUUCAACAAAAUAUUACAACUAAUAUAUAUGAAUCAAAAGAAAUAAUAAUAAAAAUAAUAAUUAUAAUAAUAAUAGUAAUAAUAAUAAUAAUAAUAGUAAUAAAUAAAUGAAUAAGUAAAAGUAAAAUUCGUUUUAUGUAUAUCUGAGUGAGGUCUUAAAAUUUCAAAAAAAUAAAAUAAAAAUCGUCAUCGGCCAUUGACAAAAUAUUCAUUGAAUAUCAUAGUAAAAGAAUCAAAUGAAUCAUUAUUAUCAAUAAUAAGCUAUCUAUAGUUCUCACAAUUUCAAUUAAUUGCCAGCGAACGAUAGUGGUGUAAUGAAUGAUGUAUCAAAGUUCCACAAACAAAUAACAAGUUCCAGCAAUAAAAAAAUCCUCAACAAUGUAUCUGGUAGUAAAUGAUUAGUGUUGAAAACAUCUAAAACAAUGAAAAAUAAGCAAUAUAAAAAUAGAAAUUAAAUAAAAAUAUAAGCUAUAAAGAAAAUGAUAGAAAAUAACAAAGUAUUAGUAUCAAAUUAACACAAAAAUUAGGCAAAAUUGCAAAAACGAUACCAUAAAAAUAUAAAGAAAAUCUAGAUAUGCUAUUAAAAUAAAAUAUAACCAUGGUAAAUAAAAAACACAUCUACCAUACAAGACAUGAAAUACCAAUGAAAUAUAAAAGGUGAAACAGAUCAUAGAUACUAACAAAAUUGCAUUGGAGAAAAAGUUGUAGGUAAAAUUGAUUUUUCAUGUAAUCGCCGAAUCUGUGACUCUCUAUCCAAACACAUCACUGCAAUUUUGACAUGUAACCAAAAAAAAAAAAACUUUUGUUGGGAGAUAUGGAAAGAGGAUGUUUGUUAGGUGUCUGAAGUUUGUGGUGUUUUGAUGUCGUUAGUGGUUUUGCUGAGAAAGUUCAUAGAACACUUUUUGUUGGCAUUUUAGCUUGUAAUUUGUAUCAAUCGAUAGAUCUCGAAGAGAUUUACAUAGCUAUGUACGUUGUGUGGGAUGAAUAUUACUUAAACCUUUAAAUUUUAGAAAGAAAGUAACAGCUCUAUGAAGUUUGGUUAAGAAUAAAAGGAAAUUAUUUGUGGGUUCAUGUAGAGGAUGGUUAGGGGAAGAAGUGGUAAGUUUUGGGGCCAUUUUGAGGUAGGCGGAUGGAUGACUGGUAGAAAUGAGUGGCGAUAAAUAUGUUGUGAAACUUCUCACCAGACAUUCGACAUGAUAUUUAAAUCAAUAAUCGAUAUUGAAGAGAUCUACAUGCUUAUGUAAGUUGUUUGGUGUGAAGAUGACCUGAACUUUGCGAAUUUUAAAAAGAAAGUGAUUUUGGUGUUUGAUUUUUCUUAGAUCUAUGGAGAUUGG
rnacentral:lncRNA from 1 species